rnacentral:rRNA from 1 species
UACGUAGGGUGCGAGCGUUAAUCGGAAUUACUGGGCGUAAAGCGUGCGUAGGCGGUUGCGUAAGUCUGAUGUGAAAUCCCCGGGCUUAACCUGGGAAUGGCAUUGGAGACUGCUCGACUAGAGUCCGUUAGAGGGGGGUAGAAUUCCACGUGUAGCAGUGAAAUGCGUAGAGAUGUGGAGGAAUACCGAUGGCGAAGGCAGCCCCCUGGGAGGAGACUGACGCUCAAGCACGAAAGCGUGGGGAGCAAACAGG